UUUUGCUCAUUUUAAGGGAUUGC
rnacentral:snRNA from 1 species